rnacentral:rRNA from 1 species
AAUGAACGCUGGCGGCGUGGAUUAGGCAUGCAAGUCGAACGCGAAAGUUCCCUUCGGGGAGCGAGUAGAGUGGCGAAAGGGUGAGUAAUGCUUGGAUGACCUGCCCUCGAGACGGGGACAACAGUUCGAAAGGACUGCUAAUACCCGAUAGUCCGGUUUAGAUGCGUCUAGAUCGGUAAAUGGUGCUUCCGCUCGAGGAGGGGUUCAAGUCCUAUCAGCUUGUUGGUGAGGUAACGGCUCACCAAGGCGAUGACGGGUAGCCGGACUGAGAGGUUGGCCGGCCACAUGGGAACUGAGACACUGUCCUGACUCCUACGGGAGGCAGCAGUGGGGAAUCUUAGACAAUGGGCGCAAGCCUGAUCUAGCCAUGCCGCGUGAGCGAUGAAGGCCUUAGGGUUGUAAAACUCUUUCGUGGGGGAAGAUAAUGACUGUACCCCAAGAAGAAGCCCCGGCUAACUCCGUG